GUUUUCUAAGAACAGCUGUGAAACUAACACAUCCCUUGCUGAGUUUGGGGACUGGCAUUUGCGCAGGUCCUGGGGAAAUCUGAAGAGGACUGAGACAGGAAUGGUUGAUGACAAAGUCAAGACACAAAUCCUCGAGACAGGGGGGAGCCCUGGCCUGGACCCUGGAGAGCUGAGCGCCUUCCAAGAGAAGAUAUGUGGUCCUCCUCGCUGCUCUGCACUCAGGGACGGUGCGGCGGUGGCUGGAACCCGGAAGAUGGAUGUGGAUUCACAGACAACGAUGCAUAGACUCGGAUGCAUGGGUGGAUUCACAGACAACGAUGCAUAGACUCGGAUGCAUGUGUGUAGAUGUACCUUAUGGAUGCCCGGCCCACGGACGCAGGCACGCCCUACAUCAGGGCCCUCCCCACCCCACCGAGAGCCAGUUGUAAGGCAUUUACCAAGUACGCCUCGACUAAAAGCCUUCUGUAUCCUUAAUUCAGGUCUGCUGAAGUCACCGCAUGUCGAGCAGCUCUGGAGCAAGGCCGCCCUCCCGGGGGGGAAGGAUGACCCCACUUCUCCCCCUGCCCCCCCAAGUCAGCCCUGACACUCUGAACGCAGUGCUGCACCUUAUUCCUCCCCAGGACUUCCUGCUGCUUCUCUGGAAUGUUCCAUCACUUAUCAGCUUUAUGGCCUUGACAGUCUUGUAACCUCUACAUGCCUCAUCAGAAUAAUGGCUGAUAAAUGUGAAUAAUAAUACUAACUUGAAAUUAUGGUUGAGAGAGUGAAAUUACACAUGAACAUGAAGAAUAUUGUGUUUAGUGGCUACCUGUGGUUUUUAGAGCUGACCAAUCAAUUUCCUAUAAAAAGACAUCAGAAUAUCACGUAAAACCCAAAGGCGAGAGACGGAGGAAAUAAAACGCAGUUCUAGACUAUGAGAUUCUAGACU
rnacentral:lncRNA from 1 species